rnacentral:misc_RNA from 1 species
AAGUCGUAACAAGGUAUCCGUAGGUGAACCUGCGGAUGGAUCAUUAACACAAACCUAAACACUGGUUCAUGGUCUCUCGAGACUAUGUUCCUUUUAAAACCAAACCUGCGAACCUCAUUUUUAAACCGAAAAAGUAAGACAAACGCGAAACACAUGCUGAUUUGCCUCUGGACUAAAGAUUGUGUCGGAGUCAGGUUCGUCCUGCUGGCCAAUCUUACAAGUCUACGCUACUUCAUUCAUGUGGGGUUAGUUUUGUCCCUUUUUUGUGUUUAGAACUUUUCUUUUUCAAUUAUUACUAUCAACACACCAAAAAGAACGCCUGGAUUUCCGGCGUUUUGAAUAUUCUGACUGAGAAAUGUGUUGUGACCCAGCACACUAAAUACUAACAUAUUAUACAACUCUUAACAACGGAUAUCUCGGCUCUC